UACGUAGGUGGCAAGCGUUGUCCGGAUUUAUUGGGCGUAAAGGGCGUGCAGGCGGUCUGUUUAGUCUAGGGUGAAAGCUCGGGGCUCAACCCCGAGUCGGCCGUGCGAACUGGGCUCACUGGAGCAUAGUAGAGGCAGGUGGAAUUCCGGGUGUAGCGGUGGAAUGCGUAGAGAUCCGGAAGAACACCGGUGGCGAAGGCGGCCUGCUGGGCUAUGGCUGACACUGAGGCGCGACAGCGUGGGGAGCAAACAGG
rnacentral:rRNA from 1 species